rnacentral:ncRNA from 1 species
GUUUCGGGGCGGGGUGAAAUUCCCCACCGACGGUAAUGCGGUCCUGAGGAUUGCCGUGCUGCGAUUUAAUGCGGUGCCCUUCCUUUUAGGCCGACGAGCCCGUGAGCGAAAGCCGAUUUGGUGAGAUCCCAAAGCCGACGGUACAGUCCGGAUGAGAGAAA